GUCCUCUCUCCAAGGUUGACCGAUUUCUUUUGGUGUUCAGAGUCCAUUUCUCUUUCUAGCACCAUUUGAAAUCGGUUACAAUGAAGGACAGAU
ensembl:miRNA